rnacentral:misc_RNA from 1 species
CAUCGUUCAUAAAAAGGCCUCUCUAUAACGGACAUUUGGUUAAUUGCCAUCACAUCAUAGAUAAGGUAUCUUCUCUCCUGUUUCUGGGAGUCUGGCAGAGUAUCAAUAAUCAUCUCCCCAUCAAGUAAGGUAUAGUGGUGUGUCUUAUCAGCUAAACCUUCAUUUGUGCCUCUACAAGGAAACCUCAUCUGGACCCUUCUGAAAUUAAAACUCCUAUCAAUCAAAUAACA